CCCACACUGCCCACAUUGCCUUGUCACAGGGGCCCAAGUUUAUCCCUGAAUAAACCAGGAAUCAAAUCCACUUAAGGUGCCUGAGGUCUGCCAUAGCUAGGUGUCAGCAACUGAACAGACCUGGGACAGAUCUCCAGAGUUACGAGGCUGAGACGCCGACUCCACCUGUGGUCAGCCCCACCAGCUUCAAGUAUGGACCGUACACUGCAGGAGCCAAUCAAAUGGAACAGCUGGAUGUGUUAAGCCCAGGGACUCUGAAGAUCCAAGGAGCAUCUAGUGGUUCUGUGCCAGGGAUAGGAACCAGGACACUUACCUGCCUCUACUUCCUGUGGCCUUAAAACCCACAUUUCUCAAGGCAGAACUGGCCUGGCCUACUUGGAGGGGGCAGGGUUUGCUCCAGUAUCUCUGAAAUCAUCUGAGGGGAUCCCUCCAUUUCUUCCAAAAGCAGAUUACAGGAAGGUCUCCCUCUCCCCACCCGUCUCUCCAGGGUGAGCUGGGGUCAGAUGCACAUGGAGGACCUCCCAGCCCAGCCCUCUGCAGACCCUGCCUUUGCCCAUCCCUUCCUGCCCCUGCGGGUGCCCAGCCCCUGCUGCUGCCCACAGUGGUUUGGGAGGCUUCCUGGGGAAGGAUUUGAGGCAGAGGAGGAGGGGGACUUCAGGACGGUAAGCAGCAAAGGCCAAGAAUACUGACCUGUCACAUAGUGAGUGCCUGCUACAAAGAGGUUUUUGUGGAUUUCCAUUUGUACAUUUCAC
rnacentral:lncRNA from 1 species